GACGAACGCUGGCGGCGUGCCUAAUACAUGCAAGUCGAACGCUUCUUUUUUCCACCGGAGCUUGCUCCACCGGAAAAAAGAGGAGUGGCGAACGGGUGAGUAACACGUGGGUAACCUGCCCAUCAGAAGGGGAUAACACUUGGAAACAGGUGCUAAUACCGUAUAACAAUCGAAACCGCAUGGUUUUGAUUUGAAAGGCGCUUUCGGGUGUCGCUGAUGGAUGGACCCGCGGUGCAUUAGCUAGUUGGUGAGGUAACGGCUCACCAAGGCGACGAUGCAUAGCCGACCUGAGAGGGUGAUCGGCCACAUUGGGACUGAGACACGGCCCAA
rnacentral:rRNA from 1 species